GGGCCCGGGCGGGGUUUGGGUCUGGCUGGGAAGGGUGAAGUCGGUGAACUCGAACUCGGAGCCCUGCGUGUCCGCGCCGAGCAGCUCGGCCUCCUCCGUGUCCAGGAAGGGUAGAGCGUGGAAUGGGAACGAUGUCUGCCAAACUUACAGCUUUUAAGCUUAAAAGAUUUAAACGAAGAUUGGAAAGGAUCUCAAUGCACUGAGUACAAGAGGGGGAAACAAAGAUGGAGGGAGAAUACAGGAGUCACUGCAUCUGCUAACAUAUGGCAGCAGCCCCGUUGCUGUGCUCAUGGGCAGGAUUGUGCUGCUGUCUGAGGUGCUGAAGCCAGAGGGCCGCCAGGGGGUCCUGGAGAUCCCCAUAUACCCAGCGGUGUGCCCGGUGCCCCCGUUACACAAGUCAAAACUACACCCACAUGCACCAGAAAUGCAGCAACAAAGCACAGAUCUUGAAUUCACAAAGCACAAGCUAUGGAUUCACUGUUCCAUUGCAGAUAUUACAGUUCUGCUCAGCUACCACAAGAGGGACGUAGAAGGAAAGCUAAGAUAGCCCGGGAGAAAAAAACAAAUCGAAAGAGCAGCUUCAUGCAGGUUCAGCUGCACUGUGGCUAUAAAAAAGUAUUCCUGAAGCAAACUGGAUAAGUACUUUAAAGCAAUGGAGGAAAAGGAGGAGAAGAUCUUGACAUUUCUUCAGUGAUCUCGGAUGAAGAAGAUACUUAGAUAUUAAGACAGCGCUAUGAUGACACCACGUCUGACGUAUUUUGGAAGGGGAUUAUCAGUCUGAGACCCAGGAGUGGAGAAUAUCUGAUGGUGCUAUGAUCUGUCUACAGAUGACAAAGUUCUGGACCAUAUUUUCAGUGAAGAACAAUGCUCAGGGUGAUUUUGUAUCCAAGAUCUCGUGUUUCAGCCUUUCUUCACAUAGACCUCAGACUUAUAGAUUUUUCACUAGUCCUGUCGCUGGCCUUGUCUCCUACUGUUUCUGAUGAGUCCUCAGAUGGAGCUACCAGUAUCCAAGUAAUGCAGCAGUCUUCCUCAGAAGAAUAUUGUGGCAAUGAAGACUGAAGCAUUUGUCGUGUUGGCUAUUUAAGAACAAAAAUAGUGGAAAACCCUGAGUCAGGUCAUGCUGGUUCUGUCACUGGUGUUGGUUGAGAACUAAGAGUUAAGGAUAAAACAGAGUUGGAAUGUGUUUUCAGCUCAUCUGCCUUUUAUGUGGGAGUUCUCCCUCAGAUGUUGGAAAUCAUCUCUGCAGCUUUUUUUCAUAAACCGUUUUCAGCUGUUUCUAUACCCUAUCUUAAAGUUGUUGAUGUUUUCUCACAUUCUAGAACUCUUAAGAAAUUGUUCAAGAAAACUGAUGUCCCCUUAGAAGUCAGAUUUUCAUACACAGAAAGGAUAAAAGAAAUCAAAUUCCUAAUAGUGUUGCAGGAAUGAGCAGGGAAGUUGACCCUUCUGAGCUCUAAUCUUCAAGGAUGGCCUCACUUUCUGUACUGUAAUGCAGUGACUUCCUCACAGGGGACUUCCCUGUCACAGGGCUCUAAUUGAUUUGAUGCUGCAGUUGUGGCCAGUGUUAUGUCAUUCUGCUUAUAGCCACAGUAGAUUGCAUAACUGUUUUUUAGUUCAUAUAAAUGACUUUACUGGUAUUACUCAAAUUCCAUUAGUAGAGUAGAAAACAAGGAGAAUUAAUGAUAAAGUUAACGUAAUGCACGAUGGAGCCAUGUCCAUUUAUUAUAUUU